ACGAACGCUGGCGGCGUGCUUAACACAUGCAAGUCGAACGGAAAGGCCCUGCUUUUGUGGGGUGCUCGAGUGGCGAACGGGUGAGUAACACGUGAGUAACCUGCCCUUGACCUUGGGAUAACUUCAGGAAACUGGGGCUAAUACCGGAUAGGAGCUCCUGCUGCAUGGUGGGGGUUGGAAAGUUUCGGCGGUUGGGGAUGGACUCGCGGCUUAUCAGCUUGUUGGUGGGGUAGUGGCUUACCAAGGCUUUGACGGGUAGCCGGCCUGAGAGGGUGACCGGCCACAUUGGGACUGAGAUACGGCCCAGACUCCUACGGGAGGCAGCAGUGGGGAAUAUUGCACAAUGGGCGGAAGCCUGAUGCAGCAACGCCGCGUGCGGGAUGACGGCCUUCGGGUGGUAAACCGCUUUCGCCUGUGACGAAGCGUGAGUGACGGUAAUGGGAAAGAAGCACCGGCUAACUACGUG
rnacentral:rRNA from 1 species